rnacentral:misc_RNA from 1 species
AACGCAACUUGCGCUCCUUGGUAUUCCAUGGAGCAUGCCUGUUUGAGUGUCACGUAAACCCUCACCCAAGUGAUGUUACAGUCGUCUUGCGGUGGAUUUGGAUUGUGCCGUAAUUGGCUCAUCCUGAAAUGCAUUAGCUUGCGCUUUUUACAGUGCUCGGCAUGGUGUGGUAAUUAUCUGCGCCGUCGCCUUAGGCCUGUUCUAUAUGUGUAGCUUCUAAUCGUCCCUUGUGGACAACUUACUUAACACUUUGGCCUCAAAUCAGGUAGGAUUACCCGCUGAACUUAA